ensembl:lncRNA
AUCAGUGUGCAUUCAUGGGAACUGAUAGUAGAACAAGGUGUGUGGCUCUUGACAUUAAAGACCAAGUGGUGCAGGAAAGACCUGCCAGAACAUUAUAGUAAUGGAGAAAGUCUCUUACAAUGAUAUGUUCUGAAGGCAGUAUCAAUUUGUCAAAAAGAUCUGCAAGAUUUGCUGUGCUAAAGCUUUUUACAAUGGGAGAAAAUAAUAUAAAGGAAGACUUAGUGGUCGGGAGCUGAGAUAAUGUAAUGCAAAUGUAAUGGUUUUAAUCACAAACAAGCUCCUUAGAUCAGUUUGGGACUUGUAGGAAGACUUACUGGCCUGUGGUGAGAGUAUGUGACCAAAUGAUCCCUUUUAAUCUUAAACUCUUGGAAGUAUUUUAGCUGCAUUCCAAGCAAUUUGGCUGCCCUCACCUUUUUUUGCUCUCCAGUGACUUCAAGCCGGUUGCUAGUUCACCCAUACGGGACUGAUUUCAGUAAUGAAUGACAGACUUUUUUGCAGAAUGAAGGAGAGACUCUCUCUAACAGGGCCCACAUGCCACGUAGCCAGGGAGGAGUUCACUGCAGCUCCCCUCAGGGAUCUUCCAGGCUCUUCAGCCUGUAAAAGCUGUCCUGCAGGUCAGCAAAGAGGAGGUGGUGGCCACUGGAUACCCAGCACACGGCCUGGCAGAGCACUCCAGUGCACGCCCUCCUUCCCUACCUGCUGUCAAAAAUGAAGAUGAUGUUAACUCUUCUGGAAAUAGUGGAGGAGAUAAAAAGAAUAGCAGUAAGAAUGAAGAUGAUCAGAUAAAGAACUUGCAUAAUGUAUGCAUAUAGAUAUUUUUUCCUAAAGCAGCUUUCUGAAAGAUGGGGUUUCUGCAUGAACCUGCUUUGCAGGAAAUGUUUUAAGCUUUGUGAAAUUUUGUGUCUGAAGACUGCAACACGAGAAUGAAGCAGGAAAUAUGCUUGUGAGUACUUAGCAGGUGUGAGGAAAGAGCAAAAUUACUGCGGCCUUGGGAUCUAGGAAUGUGGAUUGAGAUCUACAAGAUGCCACUUCGUGGCUGUUGGUUCACCAGCUCAUGAAACAGCUUGUUCCUCCCCUCGCAAAGCAGCAAGUUAAUCUGUUUAUGGCUUUCCCAAGGCUAGGAGCACCAUCUAGCGGAAACCUGUGCUGGUUAAGUAAAUAACCCUGUUCUUCCAGGACAACAGAUUUCGUCUUUAGGCUAGAAGUAUAUACACUUGCUUUUGUCCCUAUCCACAAGCACAGGAGAGAAAAUUAAGUCCAAAAUCACAAAUCAAAUGAAUUAUGAAAGUGUUUCUAUUCUAUCCUCAUUCCUGUUGAGCCACUGUCACUAUCAGUGUUUGUGUCCAUUAUAAAAAUAUAGUAUCACUUUGGACAAUCCUUUAUUUUUAAGUGCUGUGGAUUCCUCACUGCUAUACUUAGAAUUUGGUGUUUUUAUGUUCAUAUUACAGUACUCAGUGUCUUCACCAGUUCCCUUAGAGUCAGUCUAUAAGCCUGUAAAUAUUUGAACUAUGACAGAGGGGUGCAGAAGAGUCUGAUACAAGGGUAGAGUCUGUGUUCCAUGAAAAAACAACAGAACAGAAGACCAUAACAGAAAUUGGAAAUAAUUUAUAGAAAUAAACAGUUAUCCUUUAAAUUCCUAUGCUUUAUC